AUCGCGCUUGAUUGAUUUGUUUGUUUUACUUUAUUUAGGGUUUUAUAAGGUUUUGGGGUUUUCGUUCUUCCAAUACUUUCAUGUUACGUCGGUGGAAGAUUUUGGCGUGAUUUUGCUUUGCAUGGCUGUGAAACUCAUGUUUGUUGGUUUCAUUGCUAACUGCUUUUAGUGGUGUAAUGUUGAUGCUCGUUAUCGUUGGAGAAAAUUUAUUGGUAAUAUUAUGUCUUGUGGAAAUGAAGUGAUCUCUGGAGACAUGCAAUGAUUGAUUGGAUGGGUUGCUGAGAUAAUUGUGAAGUCACUGGUUGUAGCAGAAGACAACAUGAUGAAGUGGAAAUUGAUAUGAAAUCUAUGGGUAUCCCACAGAGGGAUUAUCGAGAGGAUUUAUAAUUGCUUGUCAUUUGACACAAAGAUUGUUUUAGAACAAGUAGAUGCUGAUUCUGAUUUUUUAAUCCCAUGAUACUAUGUAUGGACUGGUUAAGAUAUUCUAAUCAAUAGCAUUGGGGUCAUCAUAUGGAGUGUGAUUAAGAUAUUCCGAUUUAUUCGUUUUCCUUUUCAAUGCGAUUAAGUUGGUUAUGUAAAUGCUUAUGAGGCAGUUUAUCAGCAAAGUGAAUACCAAAUAUCUUGCUGUGUUGUGUUAGCAUUUAUAUAACCAACUUACUCGCAUUGAAAAGGAAAAUGAAUAAAUCAAUUACGUCAAACUAUAAAAUUGAUUAUUUUGACUAUACAGUUGCUUGUAGCUUCUCCGUUUUCAUCAUUUGUAUAAUUAAAUUUUAUGUUGUU